ACGCUCGACACCUACGGGAGACAGCAGUAGGGAAUCUUCCACAAUGGGCGCAAGCCUGAUGGAGCAACACCGCGUGAGUGAAGAAGGGUUUCGGCUCGUAAAGCUCUGUUGUUGGAGAAGAACGUGCGUGAGAGUAACUGUUCACGCAGUGACGGUAUCCAACCAGAAAGUCACGGCUAACUACGUGCCAUCAGCCGCGGUAAUCUGAGCGGGCUGGCAAGGC
rnacentral:rRNA from 1 species